rnacentral:misc_RNA from 1 species
GAUGAAGAACGUAGCGAAAUGCGAUAAGUAAUGCGAAUUGCAGAAUUCUGUGAGUCAUCGAAUCUUUGAACGCACAUUGCGCCCUCUGGUAUUCCGGAGGGCAUGCCUGUCUGAGCGUCAUUGUCAACCCUCAAGCUCAGCUUGCUGUUGGGUCCCCGUCGUUGCUUUAACGGCGGACCCGAAAGGUAAUGGCAGAGUCCGUGAGACCCUAGACGCAGCGAGCUUCUAGCACGCGUCUGGACGUUUUUCGGGCUCGGUCUUAACUAGAUGAUAACUUCCGAUUGACCUCAGAUCAGGUAGGGAUACCCGCUGAACUUAAGCAUAUCAAUAAGCGGAGGA